CAGGAUAUGUCAUGGAUCUGGACCUCAGGUGCAAACUCACAGAUAUAGAAGAAGUCCGGAAAAAAGAAGAUCCAGGGCUCAAAACAAGACACCAUGAACUUUUUUCUUGGAGUGUGGCCUUUUAAUCAGUUUCUGGUACAAAGACACACUGCAAGAGGGUUAUUAGACAUCUUGGACAAGCCUCCCACAUGUGGCAGGUUCACACAAGGACAAGACAUCACAAAAAUACAUCCGGGCAAAGUGUUCCCACGUGAUUCACCUGACCACUUGUAGGUAAGUUGAUGGAUGGCUUUAGCGUUGUCAGCUGGAAGCAGGCCUUGCAUGGGUGCAGGAGUGGGCAGGCGCUGCUGCUGCACUGGCUCCAACAGGGUUAAACAGCCUUGCCAGCAUGAACAAUGGAAACUGGGCAGCUCUAAAUGAAAUGAGCUGAAUAUUUCAUUCAGCCACUCAGCUGCCUGCUCCAAUUGCCUCCUUUACUAAAAUAAGAGCUUAAUCUAAAGUGACAACAACAUCAGUUUCUGUGUGCUCCAGUCACACUGAACAUGACUUCCUUAACAUAAACACUAUUUACAUGGACCGUCUGGAUAUAGCAGGGAAUCAGGAGCGUGCCCAGCUAAGACACAGGGUACAAUGAAGGACGAGGAGCAGGCAGCUGAGAAUUAACAUCAGCAAAUGAAAGCCUGACCCUCAAAGGGCAUGUCUCUGAUACGUUUUAAAAUGAGAGAGCAUUGUACCAGUAACCUCAGCCUUUGUAAAGACUAUGCCAUUUAAAAUAAAAUAGCACCUUUUCAGUUUAGACACUUAACCAAAUGCAUUAUGUCUGACCCAUUUUUCAACUUCUGUGACACAAGAGGAUGGAUCCCUAGCUGCAAUUAUUUGAAUCUUUCCAGCAAUUGCAAAACCAAUAACUUCUCUCCCCAGACUCCAGCGCAUCUUAGAGAUAAAGGGGGCAUUCCAUUCUAGGAGUGCAGGCCAGCCCAAGAUGUCAGGGGAGUGUCAAACAAGAUGUGACCCUUGAACUGAAGAAUUUGAUGCUACUGCUGGCAAUACCCAGGAAAUCCUGGAUUGAAAGUGAUUUUCAGCUAGAGAACUCUGGAACGUUGGAAGCAGGGCUUUGACAAGGCACUAGCUUCUCAGGGACCACAAAAAUAAUACAAAUUACUUAUUUCCAGGAGGCUAGAC
rnacentral:lncRNA from 1 species